AUUACUGACACCGACUUAGAAGAAAGACAGCCUCACACAGAUUACAUCAUCACCUCAAGAGAUGCUGCGUUGUGAGCAUGACAGUUUUAUGGCCUGUAGAUCCCUACAGCUGGAACCAUCUGGACUUUUAAAAGCUUGGUAAUGCCACCUCGUAAACAGGCCUCCACAUGA